AUAAAACGGUUAGUUACAAUCCUUGAUUCUGAUUGGUCAAUAGCUGUGCUUUAUUCACGAUAAAACACGGCUAUGACCGCUUCACCCAACGGUUCUAUUUAUCACUGCGCCCUUAGCAACACCCUUAGCAACCACACCAAACCCAAUGGGCAGUGAAAUGCUUCGGUGACUGGUGUAGUGAAAAGGGUUGCAGCAUUGAUUUUAAACAAAUCACCAAGACGGAACUCAACGCACUUCUCCGUGACUUCUACGGAACUGUCAGAAGCUCCAAAGGCGAAAAAUAUGGGAUCAGUAGCUAUGUAGCGUUACGUGCGGGUGUGAACAGAUUCCUGAAUGAUCCACCUUUGAGUUUGUCCUGGUGUCUGAUGAGAGACAGCGAAUUCACCUCAUCCAAUAAUGUUUUCGUUGGAGUCGUAAAGACAAUGAGAAGAGAGGGUCGUGAUAAAACGGAGCAUCACACAUCGAUUUCUACGAAAGAUUUCAGCACCAUAAAACUAACCGCGUUAAAUAUCACCACAGUGGAGCCGAUUGAAAUGAGACAAAUAUUUAAUGCGUGCACAAUUAACGGAGAUGUUCAAAUAAAUUUAAAUAAACAACAAUAAAAAAGAAUCUCUUGUUAG